rnacentral:rRNA from 1 species
AACAAACGCUGGCGGCGUGCCUAAUACAUGGAAGUCGAACGGGGAAAGCUGUCGGGUGAGUACUAGUGGCGCACGGGUGAGUAACGCGUGGAUAAUCUGCCUUGAGUGGGGGAUAACUAGUCGAAAGAUUAGCUAAUACCGCAUAAGACCACGGGGACUGAGGGUCUAGGGGUUAAAGGUUUUUCGCUCAUAGAUGAGUCCGCGUGAGAUUAGCUAGUUGGUGAGGUAACGGCUCACCAAGGCGACGAUCUCUAACUGGUCUGAGAGGAUGAUCAGUCACACUGGAACUGAGACACGGUCCAGACUCCUACGGGAGGCAGCAGUAGGGAAUAUUGCACAAUGGAGGAAACUCUGAUGCAGCGACGCCGCGUGAGUGAUGAAGGCCUUCGGGUCGUAAAGCUCUGUCGCAGGGGAAUAACACAAUGAAUGUACCCUGUAAGAAAGGAUCGGCUAACUUCGUGCCAGCCGCCGCGGUAA